GUAAAAAGUUGUACACACCUUUAAUAGAGCGCUUCUUAGAAUUUCAGAACAAAAGUGCAUGAAGCCACAAAGACAAAAAAUAAAAAAUAACUUGAAACUUUAUACUUGUUCUUAAAUUAAGCAUUUUUGACUGGCAAAGAAACAUCACUGAACGCAAUCUGCUGGAUUGAUAAACUCUAAGAAACCAACAGAAUAAAGAGUGUUAUGCAA